rnacentral:lncRNA from 1 species
ACUAUCAAUCACAGGUAUGUGGGAAUCCACAGGACCGGACUCUGUCCUGCCUCUCAUCUCCUAAGGGCAUCUGAAAAUUGAGAUGAGAUCCAGGAAGAUGCAGUUCAAUCUCAGGCUCUCCAGGAAUCCCACUCCUUUGGCUGUACUGACCCCUUUCCAGAAUCACAGUGUCCUGGUGUCCUUCACCCAGAGAAGGGCCAGAGGUCCACAUGGUCAUUCAACUACAGAGAGCAGACUGAGCAUCUGAACUUGAAGAUGCCACUAGGUAAUAAUGAGAGCUAGGACAGGAGCCCAGCUCUGCUGAUCCUGGGCUCCGGGGUUCAUAGAGCAAAUACUAAUUGACAAAUAACAUAGAGAUAUACUCUACAGCACAAAAACAUUUUGCAUGAAACAUAGCAUGUGCCCAAUUUCCUCAAGGAGUUCACAAACCACACAACUGAACAAAGAAAGUGCAUGCUCCAUACAGAGACAUGUACUACCAAAUAUUUUAGAUGUAUUUGAGUGAUUUGGCUGACCCACACCAAUGAAAAUUUCAAACCCCAGGUAAUACAGUGUUGGGGAUUUAUACUCAAGUGACUAAGUUGUCUUCUUUUUCAUAAUUAACAAAUAUAGAGCUACUUCAUAAAAAAAUUUUCCCUCCAGGAAAUGCAUUCCUUUUCCUACCUUUCCUUUACAUACUAUUCUAGAACAAUUAUUCUCUGUCUUUUCUUUCUUUUAUUCAUCUUAUUAUACCUUUAUCAAGAUAUAUG